AUACGGAGGAUGCGAGCGUUAUCCGGAUUUAUUGGGUUUAAAGGGUGCGUAGGCUGUGCGUUAAGUCAGGGGUGAAAUGCCGUCGCUCAACGACGGAGCUGCCCUUGAUACUGGCGUGCUGGAGUACGGAUGCCGUUGGAGGAAUGAGUGGUGUAGCGGUGAAAUGCUUAGAUAUCACUCAGAACACCGAUUGCGAAGGCAUCUGGCGAAUCCGUCACUGACGCUGAGGCACGAAAGCGUGGGGAUAGAACAGGAUUAGAUACCCGGGUAUUCCACGCCGUAAACGAUGAUGACUAACCGUCGGCGAUAGACAGCCGGUGGCCAAGCGAAAGCGAUAAGUCAUCCACCUGGGGAGUACGUCGGCAACGAUGAAACUCAAAGGAAUUGACGGGG
rnacentral:rRNA from 1 species